rnacentral:rRNA from 1 species
UACGAAGGGGGCUAGCGUUGUUCGGAAUUACUGGGCGUAAAGCGCACGUAGGCGGGCUGUUAAGUCAGGGGUGAAAUCCCGGAGCUCAACUCCGGAACUGCCUUUGAUACUGGAGAUCUAGAGAUCGAGAGAGGUGAGUGGAAUUCCGAGUGUAGAGGUGAAAUUCGUAGAUAUUCGGAAGAACACCAGUGGCGAAGGCGGCUCACUGGCUCGAGACUGACGCUGAGGUGCGAAAGCGUGGGGAGCAAACAGG